CAAGUCCUCAUGGCCCUUACGGGUAGGGCUACACACGUGCUACAAUGGGGCGUACAGAGGGAGACGAUACCGUGAGGUGGAGUGGAUCCCACAAAGCGUCCCGCAGUUCGGAUUGGAGUCUGCAACUCGACUCCAUGAAGUCGGAAUCGCUAGUAAUUCGAGAUCAGCAUGCUCGGGUGAAUGCGUUCCCGGGCCUUGUACACACCG
rnacentral:rRNA from 16 species